AAGCACUUCUGGCUACUUUCCCCAGUAGCCUCAUGCCUGCCAAGCACCAUUUCGUCACAGCAAAACACUGGGAUCAACAGGAUCAUUAUUUUGGACAGAGACAGAGUAAAGAUACAGGCUGACUAAAUUCUGCAUAUCUGGAUAAAUAUUUCCAAGUUCUUGUAGUGAUGACCUGUGUGGUAAUGGAGAAAGUCUUCUGGUUGCACUCUGCAAACUUCACCCUUAUUCUCACAUAAUCAUUACCAGAAGCUAUAGCUGGAGCAAGGCAACAGAAAAAUAAGGCUACAAGUGGAUUAAUAUGGAGAAGGCCAUGCAUUUAAGGGAGAUACAGGGAAUGGUAAGAUCUGACAUGUCUCUUCAGAACACAUACUGUCAGAACACUUCAGACAGAAGAUUCCUUUUUCCAGGUUAUUUUCAGAAACAGUUUAACUGUUUCCUUUCAAGAGGACCUAUUUUGAAUUCAAUGAGAUGGUUAUACAGGUAAGUUGGAAUAUACUUUAAUAUGGUCAUAUGUAAUUCAGUCAUGGAGAACGAAUAGUUAUUGAAAUGAGACUGCAUUUAGUCUUCAAUGAGGACCGUACCUCUGUACAGAAACCUACUGUUCUGUCAAGGCUCUAUAUGAAAACAUUAAAAGAAAAUUUUAAGGUUUUAUUUAAGGACAUAGAAAAUGUCACAGUAUGCCCUUGAUCCAAACUCUUCUUUGUGCCACUAGGAUUGUCACAGAAUGGUUGAGGGUGGAAGGCCAGUGCUCCAAGCCCUCUGCUUGAGCAGGGUCACCCUGUCCAGACAGCUUUUGAGUAUCUCCAGGGUUGGAUAAACUCCACAAUUUCACUGUCUGACAUCAAUCAAUUUAGAACAUUAUGUGAGUAUCUGCCCUGGGGACCUGAGAGCACCUCUGAUCUCCUAGGUGUGGUAGUCCUCUGUGUGGUAGUUUGAAAGCAAAGAGUGAUUAAAAUUAGAGACCACAAACAGUAAUCACACACUGUCCUUUGCUGAGUCUCCUGAAUUAACUGACUAAAUUAUGAUGAAAAUAUUAUGUGCGGAGAAGUAAUAUAAUGUAUAAUUCUUUUACUCCAAUUCAGUUAAUAGCUGUCUUGUCAGAAUUUUAAGAAAGUGCUACACCAAAUUAUUUAGAAAAAGCUCUAGGGAAAAGAUGUUAAUAG